GAUGAACGCUGGCGGCGUGCCUAAUACAUGCAAGUCGAGCGAACAGAUGAGGAGCUUGCUCCUCUGACGUUAGCGGCGGACGGGUGAGUAACACGUGGAUAACCUACCUAUAUGACUGGGAUAACUUCGGGAAACCGGAGCUAAUACCGGAUAAUAUAUUGAACCGCAUGGUUCAAUAGUGAAAGACGGUUUUGCUGUCACUUAUAGAUGGAUCCGCGCCGCAUUAGCUAGUUGGUAAGGUAACGGCUUACCAAGGCAACGAUGCGUAGCCGACCUGAGAGGGUGAUCGGCCACACUGGAACUGAGACACGGUCCAGACUCCUACGGGAGGCAGCAGUAGGGAAUCUUCCGCAAUGGGCGAAAGCCUGACGGAGCAACGCCGCGUGAGUGAUGAAGGUCUUCGGAUCGUAAAACUCUGUUAUUAGGGAAGAACAAAUGUGUAAGUAACUAUGCACGUCUUGACGGUACCUAAUCAGAAAGCCACGGCUAACUACGUG
rnacentral:rRNA from 1 species